rnacentral:rRNA from 1 species
GACGAACGCGGGCGGCGUGCUUAACACAUGCAAGUCGAACGCUGAAGCCUAGCUGCUGGGUGGAUGAGUGGCGAACAGGUGAGUAACACGUGAGUAACCUGCCCUCUUCUUUGGGAUAACGCCCGGAAACGGGUGCUAAUACUGGAUAUUCACUGAUCUUCGCAUGGGGGUUGGUGGAAAGGUUUUUUCUGGUGGGGGAUGGGCUCGCGGCCUAUCAGCUUGUUGGUGGGGUGAUGGCCUACCAAGGCUUUGACGGGUAGCCGGCCUGAGAGGGUGACCGGUCACAUUGGGACUGAGAUACGGCCCAGACUCCUACGGGAGGCAGCAGUGGGGAAUAUUGCACAAUGGGCGAAAGCCUGAUGCAGCGACGCCGCGUGAGGGAUGGAGGCCUUCGGGUUGUAAACCUCUUUCGCUCAUGGUCAAGCCGCAACUUAGGGUUGUGGUGAGGGUAGUGGGUAAAGAAGCGCCGGCUAACUACGUGCCAGCAGCCGCGGUAAUACGUAGGGCGCGAGCGUUGUCCGGAAUUAUUGGGCGUAAAGGGCUUGUAGGCGGUUGGUCGCGUCUGCCGUGAAAUCCUCUGGCUUAACUGGGGGCGUGCGGUGGGUACGGGCUGACUUGAGUGCGGUAGGGGAGACUGGAACUCCUGGUGUAGCGGUGGAAUGCGCAGAUAUCAGGAAGAACACCGGUGGCGAAGGCGGGUCUCUGGGCCGUUACUGACGCUGAGGAGCGAAAGCGUGGGGAGCGAACAGG